rnacentral:rRNA from 1 species
GAUGAACGCUGGCGGCGUGCCUAAUACAUGCAAGUCGAGCGAACAGACGAGGAGCUUGCUCCUCUGACGUUAGCGGCGGACGGGUGAGUAACACGUGGAUAACCUACCUAUAAGACUGGGAUAACUUCGGGCAACCGGAGCUAAUACCGGAUAAUAUAUUGAACCGCAUGGUUCAAUAGUGAAAGACGGUUUUGCUGUCACUUAUAGAUGGAUCCGCGCCGCAUUAGCUAGUUGGUAAGGUAACGGCUUACCAAGGCAACGAUGCGUAGCCGACCUGAGAGGGGGAUCGGCCGCACUGCAACUGAGACACGGUCCAGACUCCUACGGGAGGCAGCAGUAGGGAAUCUUCCGCAAUGGGCGAAAGCCUGACGGAGCAACGCCGCGUGAGUGAGGAAGGUCUUCGGAUCGUAAAACUCUGUUAUUAGGGAAGAACAAAUGUGUAAGUAACUAUGCACGUCUUGACGGUACCUAAUCAGAAAGCCACGGCUAACUACGUG